GAAUUUUUCUCAUCAAGCAAACUGAUACCAAAUCAAGCUUGAAAGAGAUAUAAUGAUUGGGUACCAAAUCAAGCUUUAUGAUGAGGGGGUUAUGAUAAAGUUAGGUUACCCCACUAUCAUGAGACCUAUUAUGUAAAAAACCUUUUGUUUUCAUGUUGCCUUAAAGAAAUAUUUAAUGACAAGGCACCUAAUCAAAAUUCCC
rnacentral:lncRNA from 1 species